GCUCCCGCGGGAACGACUGACUCGAGCUCGGGCGAGUGUGAGUGAACGCGGCCCGCUGCUGUUGUUUGUGGAGGUCUGUGUGUUUGAGCAGGUGGCGAGGAUUAGCGGUGCUGUCAACACUGAACGCUGGAUAAAGCCUCUGCUCACCCUUUCCUCGGUCUGCUCAUUAGAGCUCAUCAUUUUACCAUUUCACUCUCGAAACACGUAUCUGAAGAGAUGUUGUGCAUCCUUCUCCUGUUGUGAAGCAGAUGUUGCCCUCUGUUUUUACCCACCUCUGCACCCUUUAUCCCAUGCCAAGUCCCAAGAAGCAAUGUGAGGGACACAACGGAGAGGUGAAAAUCCAGCAGAAUAACAGGAAGGCCCCCUCUUUGCCGUUGUUCUGGAGUCUUAUUUGGAAGAUGAAUACUAAGGUUUUGAGGGAGUCCCGCAAGAAUACCCUGUUGCCAAGGACCCCACAAAAGAGCAACAACAGCUUUCCGAGGGACAUAAGAAUGACAAAGACGGUAUUCCUCUGGGCCUUUUAACACCGGGCUGCACAGCUGAAGUUACGGUCGGGGGUGGCUAGGGACGGCGAGAGAGGGUGCGAGGGCGCUUUGGACAAAAUUAAUCCUAUGGAAUUUUCUCCCUUCCCUCUCCUUCUCCUGCUCAUUGCCAAUGGAGAUUUGUGGCCCCUCUCUGCUAUCUUGCCCCACCAAUCAUAAUGAAUGAACGCACACAUACACACAUGUAAGUUGGUCAAAGGGACACAAGAAGGAUAACAUUGAUGCCUUGUUCCAUGUUUAACACCUUAAAAGACAAACUGGCAAAUGCCAGCCAGGAACACUUUGAGUAAAGACCAAUAAAGAUCAACGUGAGCUGGUGUGGCAGCACAGGCCGAGGUGUCAAUAAGCUCGUUUGCCAGUUGACAGUGAUAGGUUUAAUUAAGUUUCUUAUACACCGGUCUCCCGCUGGACAUCCACUUAGUUUAAUCACCAUAUGCCAUUCAGAGGCGGCCUACACGCGUAAUAGCCUUUUGAGUGCCUCUCACAUCACUUCCACACCAUUGCAGCU